rnacentral:rRNA from 1 species
UGGGGAAUUUUGGACAAUGGGCGCAAGCCUGAUCCAGCAAUGCCGCGUGCAGGAUGAAGGCCUUCGGGUUGUAAACUGCUUUUGUACGGAGCGAAAAGGUCUGCCCUAAUACGGUGGGCUCAUGACGGUACCGUAAGAAUAAGCACCGGCUAACUACGUGCCAGCAGCCGCGGUAAUACGUAGGGUGCGAGCGUUAAUCGGAAUUACUGGGCGUAAAGCGUGCGCAGGCGGUUAUAUAAGACAGAGGUGAAAUCCCCGGGCUCAACCUGGGACCUGCAUUUGUGACUGUAUAGCUAGAGUACGGUAGAGGGGGAAAGAAUUCCGCGUGUAGCAGUGAAAUGCGUAGAUAUGCGGAGGAACACCGAUGGCGAAGGCAAUCCCCUGGACCUGUACUGACGCUCAUGCACGAAAGCGUGGGGAGCAAACA